GUGGAGGCACCGGUUUCGUCGAUCGAGGAGGCCGCGGGCGAUCCAAUGGAGCUCCAAGAGAAAGCCGAGAUAAUAAUCGGGAUAACCGUGAUAAUAAGGAAGGAGCAGCACCACGCUCGACUCGAGGAGGAUUUGAAAAACCGUAUGUUGGACGAGGUGGAAGAGGUGGCGCCAGAGG
rnacentral:sRNA from 1 species